rnacentral:rRNA from 1 species
AUUGAACGCUGGCGGCAUGCUUUACACAUGCAAGUCGAACGGCAGCGCGGGCUUCGGCCUGGCGGCGAGUGGCGAACGGGUGAGUAAUACAUCGGAACGUGCCCAGUAGUGGGGGAUAGCUCGGCGAAAGCCGGAUUAAUACCGCAUACGACCUGAGGGUGAAAGCGGGGGAUCUUCGGACCUCGCGCUAUUGGAGCGGCCGAUGGCAGAUUAGCUAGUUGGCGGGGUAAAGGCCUACCAAGGCGACGAUCUGUAGCUGGUCUGAGAGGACGACCAGCCACACUGGGACUGAGACACGGCCCAGACUCCUACGGGAGGCAGCAGUGGGGAAUUUUGGACAAUGGGCGAAAGCCUGAUCCAGCAAUGCCGCGUGUGUGAUGAAGGCCUUCGGGUCGUAAAGCACUUUUGGCGGGAACGAAAAGGACUGUGCCAAUACCACGGUUCGAUGACGGUACCCGCAGAAUAAGCACCGGCUAACUACGUG